GAAGUCCUCGUGUUGCAUCC
rnacentral:snRNA from 1 species